UAAUACGGAGGAUGCAAGCGUUAUCCGGAAUGAUUGGGCGUAAAGCGUCCGCAGGUGGUACAACAAGUCUAGUGUCAAAGACCGGGGCUUAACUCCGGGAUGGCGGUGGAAACUGUUGAACUAGAGGGUCGUAGGGGUAGAGGGAAUUCCCAGUGUAGCGGUGAAAUGCGUAGAGAUUGGGAAGAACAUCGGUGGCGAAGGCGCUCUACUGGACGGCAACUGACACUCAGGGACGAAAGCUAGGGGAGCGAAUGGG
rnacentral:rRNA from 1 species